rnacentral:rRNA from 1 species
UACGUAGGGGGCGAGCGUUGUCCGGAUUCAUUGGGCGUAAAGCGCGCGUAGGCGGCUGCGCAAGUCGGUUGUGAAAUUCCGGGGCUCAACCCCGGAACUGCGUCCGAUACUGCGUGGCUAGAGGUAGGUAGGGGAGAUCGGAAUUCCUGGUGUAGCGGUGAAAUGCGCAGAUAUCAGGAGGAACACCGGUGGCGAAGGCGGAUCUCUGGGCCUUACCUGACGCUCAGGCUCGAAAGCUAGGGGAGCGAACAGG